UGAUAAAGUUUCUGGCACUGUUCAGAAAACGACAAUAGCUGUCAUUUCUUUGGACCGUCAAUAAGUCCAUCAAUAGUGCGUAGCUCCGGUUUCAGUUCAGACACCCGGCCCGUCGUAACCUGUGCUGCUUGUUUGCAAAGCCUCUGCAUGUUCCACUUUUCAGUCUGACACGCUGUGCGUCGUGUAAUACAUGACACAUGUGCAUGUCGGAUGUGAUUAAAGCGUGCGUGUGUGCGUGCUUUAGAGAAAAAUUGUUGGAUUUAAUGGGAUUUUCUGAAUGGGUAUUUUAAACAGAUAUGUGGGGCAAGAGAAAAUUAUGGUUUGCAAUCAAAAUUCUGAGAAUUUUUACUGCCUAAACAUAUUUUAUUAAUUUAAAAAUAACGGUUUUUGCAUGUAGCUUUGCUUUGCACUUAAGACAGAAAUAUGCAGGGUAAACACCUUUGACUGUGAUCUUCCAACGUCAAGGUGCUACUGAGUAAUUGUAUAUUUAUUGCCAUGUAGACACACACACACACACACACACACACAGACACUCAUGCAGGGAGAGAGUGGUGGCUUUGCCAGAUCAUAAUGAGGAUUUAAUUCCUGCCCGUGGCUGUUGGCGUGCUAAAGACUCUUUCUCCUUUUCUUCUUUUCUUACAUUCACACACACUUAAACACCAACACCUGCUCUGACCGUAGUCUGGCAGAGGCCUCGGAUGAAAAAUGAUUGAAGCAUGUUUGUUUUCAAUGAAACCAACCAAAAUUGUAAAGAAAGAUGAUGCCUAAGGCCAUGUUCAAAGUUAAAACCCCAAAACUGUUUGUAUUCCGAUUUAGGGCCAUGAAAUUCUUGAGAAUAUAGUUAGUCUUUUCGUAAAAGAGACAUCAUUUUAUUUAACUGUACUGCAAUUAUUCAAUCUUGUUAGCUUUUUUUUUUUAUAGUUCACAUUCAAGUUUAGUUGCAUUGUAAUACUUAGUUGGUGUUCAAAAAUGCUCAAAUGAAAUAAAACAAAAUACCUUAAUAGCAGACAACAAUAAAAAGAGGAGUAGGAGUUAUUGCAAUAGCUAAAUGUCACUCUUUAAAUCCCAAAAACUUGACUUUGAUGCCAAAUGAUGAACUCCGUGUGGUCUGAUGAAGAGUCUGAAGUGGAACCUGUGAGCUUGUGUCUCGCCUUUCAAGGCCUCUCUGUCCACACGUCUGAAUCUCCCAAAUGCUUUACAGAUAAUAAUGUCUCUAGCCCAUAAUAACCUGUGUGUGUGUGUGUGCAUAUAUCAUUUCUAUGGGCUUUUAAUGCAUGUAUUAUCGCUACCAAACACUUGGUACAUAUCAGGUUACUUGUACUGCAGUUCUACUCAGACAUGCGUUUGACAUGCAUAUGAAGAUAAUUCUGUCAACGAGGUAAAAACAAUAAAUAAACAAUAAAGUGAACACUUCUGGUGUGAAAGUUAUUCUGCUUUAAACAAAAAGUGUUGCAAUCCCCAAAAAACAGUUAAUGCUUCCAAUUCAGAGGAUGUCCAAACCAUCACACAUGUAUGCUCAAUUAUGUGUUUUAGUGCCUAAACAAUUAGUUGAGGAAUAGAAAUUGAAUGAACUGGUGCUUUGAUGAUUCAUUGUUGAGGAGAAAUGGUUGCAGCUUCUAAAAUGUGGUGGUUUCUUUUUUCUUCUUUUUUGAUGGUUUUAAAGUCUUUUGAGUUUGGGUUGUUCAGACAAAACUCAACAUUUUAAUACACCUUGAAAUCUGGUAAAUUAUAACGGCCUUUUGUUUGAAAUUUACUUUGCUUGUACAGCGUUGUCAUGUGAAGAAUUCAGCUGCUGUUUUUCUCGAUUAUACGCCGUACUAAAGGGAAUUCCUGUCUUCCUCGGUCUCUAUUUGCACUGUACAGCUGUUGCUUUUUCAUAUGCUGUUGGCCUCCUUCGAGAAAUUAGGUCAGAAAUGUGUUUCUCUUUUUUUGUGUGUGUGUGUGUGUGUGUGUGUGUGUGUGUGUGACGAGGCUGCGCAUCUGUCCAUCUGACCUCCAGGGAGACGACCGGAGAUAGAAAUCACCAUCACAGACACGGCGAGGCAGAGAGGCGAGGGUUAAAGAGGGGUGAAAUGAGGCAAAGAUUUAUACUGUAGAAAAAGACAUCUGGUGGACGUGUUCUGAGGCAGCCGAGGUCCUCGAGAACGCGUAUUUAAGCGCGCCCCCGUGAGGAUUUCUAAUGAGCUGUACUGCAAGUGAGUGCGGGUCGGAUCACAGUUGAUGAUCAGCGGAGCAGAUGUGAGGAGUGGUUUGAAUUUAUGCACUGAGCUGUUUGGGGGAAGUUACGGCCCGUAAUUUAGACACUAAUUGACGUCCGCGCUCUCUCAACACACUUUUCUCUGAACGCUUGAGCUCUUUCUGUAGAAGAAACCUUUUGAUUGUGACAUUCUGUGGGGUUGCGUAAGCCCAACAACAAUCUGUGCGUGUUUGUGUUUGCUUCAGCUCUGAGCACACAGCUGAAAAACGCAAAGGAACAGAGUAGAGUUUGGAAAAGAAAGUUGCGUAUGUGUGUGUAAGUGUGUGUACUUGCGUGUGUGUGUGUGUGUGAGAGAGAAGAAUUGUGGCACUGGGGACAACAGCUGCUCCAGGGGUCUGUCUCAUGCUUUUUUCCCUGGUGACACAAACGCACACACACACACACACACACAAAUGUAUUUACACAACAAGUGCCCCCAAUGAGCAACAGUAGCACCUCGACUUUCACCGCUGACAUUUAUUUUAAUAAGUUCAUUGGUCUCCGCUGUACAAACAAAAUAAGCUCUGUGUUGCCUUUUUUAGUGUUGUUAAUUGAUCGAGUUGAUCGUGUCCCUGUGAGUUGUGACUCUGGAGCUGUGCCAAGCCGUUCAUUAAUCGACUACGUGUUGAUGUUUCACAAAUGUAGGAAAAUUUGUGUUAAGAAGAAAAGUGACAUCUAGGAUGGUCGCAGUGCACUAAAUUCUGAAUAACUGAUAUGUGUCAUAAUUUCCAUAAUUUUUUUUCUUCUCAAGAAACUGAGAAAAAAGUGACCAAAACAAUAGCGUUGUGCCUUCAGGUCUCAGAUCAACCAACCAUAGUGUUGCAGUCACUUUAACAUUGUGACCGCAUCACAUUUAACUUACAGUGAAGCACAAUCAGAGACGCGCCUGCAGGCCACACAUCAAACUCUUUUUGUCUGCAGCCCCUUUACCUCCCGCUCUAGUCCUCCCUUCCCUCUGUCAUGGAUCAGAGGACAUGUCCCAAAGUGCUUUGCAGGCAACACGCGUGCAGCAUGUCCCUGCAUGCUGAUGUGACUUUAAAGGUUUGCAGCAACCUCGUGAGGUGGACUGUGUGAAGGCUCACCGCUGGUUGUGUGGCCGUUCACGCUCGGACAAUGUGGGUGAAUAUUUUAAACGGAGCAACGUUCCAUGUUACCUUGAGCGCUGGUGGGAAUAGAUGUUCAAUUCUUCCAGACUGGUGAAACAGCCCAGAUGGGAAAUGUUUAUCUAUCAUAUCAGAGGCUUAAAAUUAGUGUUUGUGGGUAAUUAUCAUAGGAGAGUCGUAACCAUUGAAACAAAUACACGUAAAUGGGUAAUUUUACAAAAACGUUAUUUAAACAACCUUCAAAUCUACCCGAAUCAUUUUUUUUAAAGCAAGUUGACCGGAAACCUGUUCAAAUUCUACAUGCGAACAAAUAGCCAAAAGCUAAGCUAUUUAAAUAAAUGACCAUGUUUGCAUUCAAAGCUGCCUUCCACGAGCGGAAUGAAUUUUUGCUUUUAAUAUUUUUUUUUAUAUUCAAGAAAAAUAUCUGCAUAUAAUUAUACAAAUAUAAAUGUCAAAAUACUCACGUGAUUGUGCAAAGUGACACUUUUAAAGUUGGAUGUGUCUCACUCUUUUUAAUCUGCAGCAAAGCCCAGUCACAUCACUGUGAAUCUGUGAUAACCCCGGGGCCUCAUUAGCCUAAACCAGGCCUGGUCCAUACAGCUCUGUUAAUACCGGAUACUCGGUGGGUUUGCGGGUUGUCCUCGUGGACACUUGGGACUCCUGUGCCUUUCACACAUGACCUCUUGUCCUUUUUGGUCCCAUCGCUCAAAUUGGUCUCCACCUCUGCUGACCUCACCUCUGUUUCCAUGGACAACAGAGGCGUCAAAAAGUGCCCCGUUGAGUCUCGUGUCUCUCUGAGCCGGCUGAGACAGUUUAGCUUCGAGGUUUAAUGGCCUUCACGUGCGCCUUUAGGCAACCGGUUUGAAAGUGUUGAAAAGAUCCUUUCAGAAAGUCUGUAAGGGGGGGCCGGUCUGUGACACCCACCUUUUAUUUGAUGCAAACCUGUCAAGGGAUCUGACCGGGUGCAGGUAUUUUUUACCCCCAUUUCCUCACAUGUUUUUGUACCCUCUUUAUUGAUGUCUUUCAUUCACGAAUGCUUACAUUUGAUCACUUCACUCCUCACUACAACAACCAACUUCCCGACUCACUUUCAAAAGGAGCCGAGUUUUCAUUAUCAAGGACGCUCGCACACGGUGGGAAUUGGACGUAUGAUUCCAGACUGAAAAUACAGUAAAUGAUAAAUGAGGCCAGCAAAGAUUAAGGAUAACAAUUGCAAAACAAGGUUCCAUUGUAUCUCCACAAAAACUGUAAUUGUGGCCGUGUGGAGAAGGAUUUGACCGUAGGAAAUAUUCACUUUUCUUGUAUCAAAUUAGUUUAGCUUACAUUAGUGUUACUCACCAAAACGUGUAGGUUCUUAAGGUCUAACAAACGUGUGGAAUUUCCCAUUUCUUUCUUGGACCUGCACAAAGUUAAACAAUAAUAUUUUAGGUAUUAAAAUCAUUGGAUUGUUUUUGUCCAUCUUCCCUGGUUUGCAGUGUUGCUCUCGCUGUCUUUGCUGACACAUUGUGGAACAUCACCAUCACGUAUUGAUAAAUGGUGUAGAGUUAAACCUUGUGUAUCGCGCACCAGUACGCGGGUGCAUCCUUGUGUGUUUGAGAUGAACACAAAUGCCAGUCGAUGAGGUAUUUGGGGAGAAUGUAUCCUCCACUUUAGGCUGAAAACAUUCAUUUUGAAUUUCAAGACAAUAUGCUGUAUAUUUGCUGUAUACAAUGCAAUACGCUGAGCAUCGCAGCAGCGGUGCCGGUGUUUGAGGCUUCUUUGAUCUUAUUCCCAUUAAUCUAAAGAUGCUUUUUGUUAUUGUCACCAAAUCACAACCACGCACAAUGUCAGCUCGCAAUAAAACCGUUAAAAACAGGCCACAGAUAUUUAGUUGUAGGUUUUUGAAAAAAUCAUCUGCGAACUGUAGCAAAGAAGUAAAUAUUGCAUGAGAGACCUUUAUCAAUUGUAGACUUAAUUCUUUAAUGAGUAUUUACACCAGCAGAUGUGGCAUUGAGUUAAAUACACUACAGUGAGAGUGUGUGUGUGCGCUUAUGUUUACAAAGGAACCUGCCUUGUUGUCUAGCAUGGUGCCGUCCAUCUCUCUGCUGCUUCAAUGUACAACAAUGAACAUCCACCAAAGCUACAGACGGAUUCCCCAGAGAAAUAAAUUCACACGGUUUGGGCCAGUGCGUCAAACACUGUAGGUUGUUGUCACUCUUUUCUAUUUUUUUCCAACUUGAUGGCUUGUUGUGUUUAUGAAAAACGUAUUUCCUCACUGGUUUCAUGGUGCUCAACAACAGCUGAUCUCUGCUGACUGAUUUCUCAGUUUGGCGUUUGGUUAAAAUCGUCUUCCCUUUUCUCCACUGACUAAAUUAAGAUGUGUCAUAUCGAAGUGGUGAUGUCUUGUUAAUCUCUCCAGCUCGCUCUCAGUGGUUUGGGCCUGCUCAGCCUUCCACCGAUCUAUCAAUCUCACAUAAUCUAAUUUACACACACACACACUCUGCAGAGAAGAGGAUAACAACAGACUGCGAGUACAUUUUACGCUCAAAUCGGAUCUGUCUGUGUGAAGUGUGUGCGCGCCGCUCAGAAGCACAUCUUGGGAGGUUGUGGAACAAGUUUUAUUGCGAGAACGGAUCAAUCUGUCUUAAAUCACGGGGAUCUAUCUCAUGUCCCUCACUUGAAAAAGCCCGACAGAAAAAUGUGUAGCGCUAGCAAAUGUCAACAAGCGUUCAGUGUGUUCGUGGGUGUACUUCUACCACAGUGUGGACCAACAGGGUGACUGAGCGUUUGUGUCUGUGCCUACGUGUGUGCGUGUGUGUGUGUACGUUGAAAGAAAUAUGAAUUUGUUGGUAAAUGUCAGGAAGUUGGCAGUCUAAUGGCUGAGCUGACGGAUGAUCCAUGAAGCUAUAAAGUGAUUGGUUUGGAGAUUCUCAUACAUUCUAAUGCAACUGUCACUGUGUGUGUGUGUGUGUGUGUGUGUGUGUGUGUGUGUGUGUGUGUGUGUGUGUGUGAGAGAGAGAGAGACACGCAGGGCAGUGAAUGGUUGCAGAUUUAUUACUUACUUGGUGCAGGUUUGUCAGUUUUUAUGGGGUUUUUUUCUCUUGCUAAAUAGCUCUGUUAUGUUAUGGGUCAUUAAAUAUGACAAAAAGCAGGCAUAUUAAUGUCAAAAAAUGUAAAUGUACAGUUCCUGAGGGUUACAUAAUUACUUGUCAGUAAUAUAGCAGACAAUAUAGGUUCACUGUUAAAAUACACAUGGCUGGCCAACAGGCUGUUCAAUGAGAACCAGCACAAACACUGUAAAAGCUUUUGAUUGCACAGAUUUUCCGAUAUUUGCUUCAGAAAUAUAUCAAUAUAAUAUGUAUUACAAUUGAGGUUCAUGAAAUUUGAUUUUGUAGUCACAGCAACAACAAAGUCUCUUUUUUUCCUCUCUUUGCCAUCCACAGACCUCCCUGUGAACUACUUUCAGUGCAACGAUUCACAGAUGAAAUGUUUGUUUGAUGCACUAUUCUACAAAAUAGAUACAAAUCAUUUCUAAUUUUUUGCCUUUUUUCCGGGAAUGGUGUAAUUUUUUUUUUUGUUGAAAAAAAAGAAUAAUCUAAAGCUCUUUUUAAUUUAUACCGAUAAAUUGUACAUAUUUUAAAGUUUUUCAUAUUUUAAUUGACAAUUGUUAUAUGAUCCUCCAUUAACCUAUUUGGAACUUGCGGUAAUUGCUUUUAUUUUAUGUUCUUUUGCAAUACUUAUUGUCAUUUACCAAAUGCUACGGCAAAUCUUGUGAAUCCAAAAGCAUGCGUGUCAAUGCAUGCAGCGGGUUUACGGUGACACUGCAGUGCUUUAGCUCAAAACUCGCAUAAUAUAGAUGUGCUGCUGCUCGGCUUUCAGACACUAUUUGGCUGAUUUGGCCUCUUUUUAAGGACAGCACUGCUUAGUAAACUGGCCCUAGAAAAGUAUAGAAUAAAUUACACUUCUACCAGCAACAUGGGGAUGUGAUCGAGUCCUUCAACUUUUAAAAUGAGCUGCAUGGUCCAUUAGACAUCUUAUGACAGACCACAAUGAAGCACUUUAGGAGGUAGGACCUCCAGAGUCGCUAAAUAUUCAUUGAUCCAAAGAGGUGUAGACUGGACACAUGUCGAGGAGCUUUAAGUUGUUAACUGCUCAUCCCGAACAGAGAAGAGGUUGAACGCUUUUAUACAUGGCUGCUUCACCGCUUACAUUUCCAAGACUUUCACGCCGCCACAUUCAGCCUGAACACAAAACAAAUAAUGUGUUUUGUGAGAAAAGGUAUCUCCAGAUUUAAUCCCUUGGUUCAGUAGUUGUGGAACACUGGCCGUGCAGCUGCAUUGCACCAUGACGCCAAGAGCCUCGUCCUUUUAUAGUUGUCCCCGGCAGAACCCAAACACUGCUCCAUAGCCUGAUUUAAAGCUCCAGAUGUUGGUUUCCGCUCCAUCAAAAAUAUAUAUACAAGAGACUGAAGAGGAUGUAAAGACAUUGAACCACCUUAAUACAGGCCUGCGAGAUAUAAGACAAAUAUAAGACGCAAGCGGGAAACCAAAGGAAAGCUGAUGCAAAGUAUCAAGUACAUGUUUUAUUGUACUAGACUGUGUGUGUGUGUGUGUGUGUGUGUGUGUGUGUGUGUGUGUGUGUGUGUGUGUGUGUGUGUGUAAUCCAAAGCCAUAAACCCAUAUCUAUGACCAUAGAUUAUGUUAUAAAUAAGUGUGUCUAAACAUUCUCCAGUGUUUGAUUACGCUGUCACAAAUCUGGACGUGGCCACACGUUUCAAUCUCAUUCCAUUGCAGAUCCGCUCGGAGUUGGAAUUGAGUAUCAGCUUAAGUUGCCUUCCACUUUAUAUUUAAAUGUUUCUGUUUACAGUGUUUUUUGUAAAUGAAAACCGAAAAAAAUAUCACUAGUAAUUCCCUCUCCGUCCUCCCACUAUAGCGAGGCAUGAAUCUACUGCAUCUUGCUAUUUCCGUCGAUUGCUUCCGUUUUCCUACAUGUGUCCUCAUUUGAUCAAUCAAUUAAUCUCCAUUUAUGCCAAGCUAAAAUAUCCACGGCCUGACGCCAGCUUCGUACCAUAAAGUUGAUGUUCUAUCCAACAUUCUGAAAGGCAAAUGUUCCCUUAAAUUCAUGUAUCAUCUAUUCGACUCUACACGGUAGAGCGAGAAGGGGGACUAUUGUUUGAUCAGUAAACAAAUAUAAAUGUAGUCACUUAUAAUAAAGGAGGCUAUAGAGGCUAUAAAGGAGAUAUUUAGUGAUACUAAUGUUUUACGGGUUCAGCUAUUGAGUACAAACAAAGCAAACAGUCUUUUUUUUAGCAAUGUUUCUGUAAAUUAGCGCUCACAUGGUGGGAUUUAUUUAUGUAUUUUCUCACACAUCACACAUAUUGUCUCCCUUACUGACUCACACCUCCUCUCCAUCGUUCCCUUUUCACCUGUAGCUCAACUUUUCUCAUGCUACCACUCGUCAUCAGCCGUUCCGUCCGGCCCGUCGUGCUGAUUUUAACAUGCUGGUUUACAGGGUAAACUCGUGAAGAUCGUAGUGAACUGGAAACGAAGCGCGUCCUCUCACACGUGACCUCUGCUCCUCUUCAACCUCGCACGCCGGCCUCCUCACAUUUGACAACUGAUAACAUCGACCCUGGUGGACGGCCCGGGAUUUGUUCUUUGUAAGUUCAGUCAGAGGAAUCGGCAAACAGCGCCGAGAGAUCAAUUCACUAUGAGUGUAAUGACUAUCGAUCCAGUCGGAGCGGAGAGACCGAGAAGGAGUUGGAUGUUUUUAGAUGACAUAAUGCUUUGUGCUCUGCUGCUGUCGGGUGUCAGUGUUUCCUCCGCCGGGAGUAGAUGUGUGUCUCUUGUAUUUGUUGGCACCUAUUUGUGGACCAUGUGUGGGUUCGGGGUUCACCUUUCUCGUUACUUUCAGGGAGACUUGAAACACGGACGAGAGUUUUCAUUUGGCUUGAUUCGUUCUGUUUGAUAAGUGGCCGUGUUGCAAUAGCUAUAAUGUCCAAAAUUGAGAAACUACUCAGCCCAUGUUUUUGUGUACGUGGCUUUUGAGAUGCGUGACCAUGCCGGCAGCCCUUAAAACGUGAGAUAGUCAAACACUUUCCGAUGAGGUAAAUAUCAGACUGCUUGGAAGGAAAGGAGAGCUGCUCUGAAGUCGCCUGUUGUCUGUUAAAAGUCCUUUACGCUACAUGCGCUGACCUUUACUGGUUCUGUUGAUAGUAUCCAACUGACCUGGGAUUUCCCAUAUUUGACCAGUUGACCGCACACCACAGAGUGGCGAUUCGAAAAGGCGAGUCAGUCUUUUUCUGCCGCUGUGAUUCCAUUCUUCUCUCUACAUUUCCUCUGAUGUGUCAUCACAGGCAAGAAAUCCCUCAUGAAUUAAAUGGUUGAAAGACCUUUUAAGCUUCACGAGACGUCUUCCUUCCCUCUGUGUCUCUUUCUUUUUACCCAGGUCUAUUUUUCUGCCUCACGCUUUUCUCUUAUGAGCAUCUUACCUUUUCAUCUCUCCCCGACAGCAAAUUCUGCCAAUUCACCUAGUCUUAAAAGUGUGUGUGUGUGGCCCUGAUGAGCUUUGUUGGGUCAUGAAUCUUUUACCCUUACCAGUCAGCACAAAUCCCCCCCCCUCUGAUAGACACACAGGCAUGCGUGCAGCAUGCACACACACACACACACACACACACACACACACACACACACACACACACACACACACACACACACACACACACACACACACACACACACAACAUACCUACCAAGACAAACAGCUCCUGGCGGCGUGUUUCGCUUUGGUGAAACUGCGUUAACUUUGUAAGAGAGGCUCGUAAAAAUAGAGAACGUGUGAUCUUGAAAUGUAAUCUAUAAGAAAAGAGAUGCAAAGAAAGACAAUAGAUGGAAUAGAGAGAUGAAAAUGAAACGGCAAAUGCUGAAGAGUGGAGAGAGAAGCACUGUGCUGUGGGAGGAAAGAAAGGAGGAGAGCUGGACAGGAGAGAGAAGUGUGAGCUUAUCUCACCGGCCAGGCGUCAGCAAGGUCACUUUGCAGACUGAGGAAGGAGGAUGUGCAGAGGAAGGACGUGCAGUCGUCACUCGACAGAACCAGCCGGAGAAGAGAGUGAGGGAGAGUUUAGAAAAGGAAUGCAAAUAUUUGUAACUGAACUGCAAAUGUUUAAUGCUAAUUUGUGGCCCUCAAAUAUUUGCGUUUGUUGAAUUUUCAAAUCAAAAUGAGGCCACAAACUUUUCUCAGUUAGUUCCACAUACGUCUUUUAGGAAAUCAUUUGCAUAGUAAUUUGCAACGGGAAAUAAAUGCCCCAUUUCCAUUUUCUAUUAAAAUUGUAAUUAUGUAAAACAUUUUCACCGAGUUGUAAAAUGUAUCUGAUAAAUGUUUACAGUGCAUUUAAUUACAGUGUCCACUUCAAGUAGCAAAAGCAUGAUUGAUGAUGUUUUAAUUGUUAUGUUUAGGAACAGCACUUAUAUUGAGGGAAGUAUUGUGGUCUUCGUUAAGUAUUGUACGAUUUAAAGCAGGAGAUAAUGUGACAACAUGCUGUGUGCCAAACAGACACAAACAUGUGUCUAAAUGAGGAGCGGCCUCAAAAAAGAUAUUUAACACAGACAGAAAACCUUUUUUAGUUUUAUUCAGGAUGGCUGACACAAACCUUUCUGAUUUAGUCAAAUAGGGAAAUUAAAAUCAGUUUAAUGCUGUCGGUGAUGUCUCCAUGUUGUGUCACAUCACAGCAUCAAUUUUAGGCAGAAAGACGCAGCUCUAGGAAACCAAAUUCACCAACAAUUAAGUCAAUGAACGCCGAAUGAUUCAGCCAAAUAUCUUCCGAUUUAGGGACUUUUUUAAAGCUAAAUCUUAAUUAAAAAUAUUUAUUUAUAUUUAAUUUAAUUAAUUUGAUAUCUUCAUUUGAUUUAUACUAAUUCAUUUCUUCACAUCACUGAGCGAUCUGAUCUUAAAUGCUUCAUUAGUGUAACUAUAACUUGAUAAAAUGUCUCCACUGUCCACAAGUUAACAACUCGACAACUGUUUUGUCUUUAAAUUCAAUUUAGCCACGUUUUUCUCUGUUUCUACUCCAGUAACAUGUUUCAUAUUCAUGUGGUACACGAGGGUGGUAUAAUUGAUUGACAUAGUUCAUAUGUGGUAGAUUCAAGUCUUUGUGUCAUCUCUGCCCUGCCUUCGGUCAUCCUUCCUGUCACUGCACGCUUUCAAAAACCUGAGGAAAGACCACAAAACAACAACAACUCCCCUCCCUCCACUUCCCUACUUAAGGCAGGAAAAGAUUAAAAAAAUCACCCAAAUUGAUCCUAAUGUCUAAUAGUUUCCCUCCGCAGGAAUAAAUGGCAAAAAGACACUCUGACAGCUUCACAUGGGGGAGUCCUGAGUAAACAAACGCUGAUCCAGAAAGCGCUGAUCCAGCCUUUCCUGGGCUCCCUCGAUGCAAUCGCUCCCCUCCUCUCUCAUCUGUUCAUUAAGGUCAACCUGAUUUUUUGGUGAGAGUGGGGGGAGACUGUGGGUAAGAGGAAGAGGAUGGGAUAUAAGGGGAUUUUGAGCUAAUUAGGGGAGUAGGAGGCGAGAGAAGAAAUAGAUGAGACAGGGAGGAAGUGAAAAGGAAAGAUGGGGGGGGUAAAUGGGAAAUGGGGGUAAAAGGGAGGGAGAUAGUCACUGAAAAGGAAAGAGUAGGCAGGUGAAUUUGCUCAGUUAGCUCCCUGGUGUUUAAUAUCACUCUCCCACCCCACCUUUGCUGUCGCUCUCACCCUUACUUCCACCUCCCCGUCCAUUUAUCCUCCCUUCCAUCUCUCUUUAAUAUCCACUCUCUCUUCCCACUUCCUUCUACCCCUCGGUCCCUCUGCUCCUCUUUCUUUCCCCCGCUGUUUCUCUCAGUCGACUGAUUUUCUCUGUUUCACACCUCUGCUAUCAGAGAGGACUGGCCAGAUGGAUGCAGGUGUGUGUGUGUGUGUGUGUGUGUGUGUGUGUGUGUGUGUGUGUGUGUGUGUGUGUGUGUGUGUGUGUGUGUGUGUGUGUGUGUGUGUGUGUGUGUGUGUGUGUGUGUGUGUGAGAGAGAGAGAGUCAGAGAGAAAGAAGUCAGUGCUGCAGAGGCAGAAGAGCAUGACUAAUCCUUAGGACACACACACACACACUCAGACGUAGGAUUUGCACACACACACAAACACACAGCGAAGAGUUGGCACGAGCAUAAACAUCAUUUUCCCGGUGUUGUGCUGACCUGCCAGUGUACCUAGCUGGUGCCCAGGUCAUUUUUCAUUCAAAUUGACCAGGUGCAUAGAGAUGGCAGCCUCUUGAAAAGGCAGUUUUCAGUCCUCCCUGCCCAUCCCCACAAUGCGAUCCCAGCGUUUUGUCCAAUCCCGAAAAGCAGAUGAGAACACUGGCACUUUGAAAUAUUCCAGUUUUCAUGAAAUCCUAAAGAUCAAUCUGUCAUUAUAUCGCCAACGUAGUAGACAUUGUAGGAAUAAUCUCUGCACUAUAUUGACAAAAAUGCAGGGGUGAGUAAAACCUUAGUCAUCUUUGCACGUGGGUGCAGUCAGACAUCAACACAUACACAACCAAAUACAGUAAGUUCAAGGCUUCACUUGCUAAAUCUUCACACCUUUUUACACAAGGAUGAAAAAUGGCAUUUGAUUAAUUGUUAAUUAAGGAAUACAGUACGUCUACAAUCAACAGUUGUUUCCAAGACAACGGAAAUAACCAAUUGCAAUUCCUAAUAAGGUGCAAGCAUCUGUUAUGUUUCUUAAUAAUAAUAAUUAUUAUAGUUUAGAAAGUGGGGACAAAUCCAAUUCUCUGCACUUUUACCUAUCCCACAUAAUUGGGAGCAGUAGGCUCCCAUGUGGCACCAAGGUAGGAGUUGGAGGUUAGAGGACCAUUAAGGUCAAUUAAAAUAAAUGUAUUUUUGCUAUUGUCAUUCACGUGUGUGUGUGUGUGUGUGUGUGUGUGUGUGUGUGUGAGAGUGAGAGAGAGAGAGAGACACGCAGGGCAGUGAAUGGUUGCAGAUUUAUUACUUACUUGGUGCAGGUUUGUCAGUUUUUGCGAAUGCGAGAUAGUGGCCAUAGACAGAGGUAUGGAGUCAUAAUGUGACCAGUUUAUCACAUUCUUCAUGUUCCUCCUUGAGCUUCUGCUUGUCGGUCUUUAUUAGGAGAUCCGAACUCUCUGUAAAGAAUGCAGCAAUCAUUAAUAUAUCAGCGAGACCCUGAGGUUACCUCAAUUCAGCUCGGUUCAGUUUGGUUUGGAUCGGCUUAGUUUGGUUCAUUGUAGUUCCGUUCAUCAGUGUGAAUCACUGUUGUUGAUGUUGCUAAACUCAUCUAGUUGUGAAGUGUAGCAGAAUCAAUUACACGGCUAGAUGCUCCCAAUUAGACCGGGCUGAUCAAUGUCAGCCAAGAUCACCGCAUAAUCUCUCUCUCUCACACACACACACACGCACACGCACACACACAAACCCAGACUGCAUAGAUGAUUUGAUAAUCAAAUCAAUCUGAACAACUAGAGCUUCACUAAUGAAGCAAUGAUCUCAGAUGAAUUUCAUCUGAGAUCAUUGAGGGAAGGAAUGUGUGUGUGUGUGUGUGUGUGUGACAGAUUGUUGAUUUGAUUUUUGUCAGCAUUUAGAUUCUCGCACUUAUUCCCAUGAAGAAAAUAGUGAGAGAUGGACAAACACCAAAAAAUCAAACACCUUGGAUGUUCAUGUCCUCUCUCAUUUCCAAGGGCCCGAGGGACCCGAGGGACAUCAUUUUAUCACUCAUUGUCCUGCCUAAUUUCCUUGAUGACCUCAAUCAGUGAGACAAUUCACAUUGUUCAUCUGCUCUCAGUGGAAGGCCACUGAUGUAAAAAUUCAAACAAGUCUUCAGAUGUACUCAAUUCAAGUGUGUCGACCUUUUCUCAGCAGGAGGGCAAGAACACUUCUAAAUGUUUUUGCUUUUACAUUUAAAAAAAAUGGUUCAUCUAAUGAGGACGCCACUCGAAUAUGUCUUGUUAGAUACACUGUUUUACAGCACUAACUUUCCUGUUUAAAGAAGAUCAUUCCAUUUACAAAAGUAUAGUUUUAUUAUAUGAGCCACACUUUGAAUUGAAGUAUAUAUGAAAGACUAUACAACUGGCAUGGCAGCAUUGGUACAUCAUUAUUACAUCAUUUCUACAGCUAUUUAAGCUGAAAUAUCGUAACUAUAACUUCAGAAGAGUAAAUAUCUAUUAGCAGUUGGGAAAUUGUAGUUGCAGUAUUUCACAAGCACAAACACAAUGUUUGAAAGAAGUAAAAAAGUACUUCUAUAAUAAGUGAUAAGUUCAGAACCUCAGCGAUAUUAAAGGACCAUGUUGUAAGAUUAUUCUGUAUUUUGCCUUUUGGACCAACACGACUGAGAAACACGUCAAAGAAAAUCUGCAAUUUCAUGACGAUUGGGAGACUUUUCUGAUAUUGUGACAAUGUGAGCUUCUGACCUUGGGGGGAAUUCUAUUUCUUGAAUAAAUAUCACAAUAACAUGUAUUUAUUGUCUAUGCAUUAUGGAUGAGAGACUCUUAAAGUUGGAGGGUGUCAUUUGUUGGACCGAUUGUAAAGGCCUUUGAGGCAAAUAAGCAGUGUUGGGCAAGUUACUAAAAAUGAGUAACUAGUUACAGUUACUAGUUACUUCUUUUAAAGGUAAUUGAAUUACUUACCAGUUACUGUGUAUCAAAAGUAUUAGUUACUCUGGAAAGUAACUUUUAAAUUACUUUUAUGUCUGCUUUUUAAAUGUAAUGAAUAUAAAUAGUACUGAACAAACACAAUUGUUACGCCCGUACAGCACCCCGUGAGGGGAGGGGAACAUACACCGCGCUGCCAAGAACCCCAGACGGCCAGAGACCGGGUGUGGGCGCAAGUAAUCACACCAACAUCGAUGGGUUUCGUUUAAACAGGCUAGCACGUGCCAGUUUAUUAAUAAUAAUAAUAAUAAUAAUAAUAAACAAUAGAGGGAAAUGGGAGGACGGCUGAGCUGAUCCAAAACAAAGAAAUUAGCAAAACCCCACCCCUUACCUGUCCCAACGUCCUACACAAAACACUUAUUUACUCUGGCGCUCGAGCAAGGCGCCCUAACCAAAAAUACAG
ensembl:lncRNA